rnacentral:rRNA from 1 species
UGGGGAAUAUUGGACAAUGGGGGGAACCCUGAUCCAGCCAUGCCGCGUGUGUGAAGAAGGCCUUAUGGUUGUAAAGCACUUUAAGCGAGGAGGAGGGUACUGGUAUUAAUACUACCAGGUACUGGACGUUACUCGCAGAAUAAGCACCGGCUAACUCUGUGCCAGCAGCCGCGGUAAUACAGAGGGUGCGAGCGUUAAUCGGAUUUACUGGGCGUAAAGCGUGCGUAGGCGGCUAAUUGAGUCGGAUGUGAAAUCCCCGAGCUUAACUUGGGACUUGCAUUCGAUACUGGUUAGCUAGAGUGUGGGAGAGGAUGGUAGAAUUCCAGGUGUAGCGGUGAAAUGCGUAGAGAUCUGGAGGAAUACCGAUGGCGAAGGCAGCCAUCUGGCCUAACACUGACGCUGAGGUACGAAAGCAUGGGGAGCAAACAGG